GGCCGCCUGGCGUAAUGGCAACGCGUCUGACUACGACUUGGGCGUUUAACGUUUACGUAAGCUUGAUCAGGAGAUUGCAGGUUCGACCCCUGCGGUGGUCA